AGUGAACGCUGGCGGUAGGCCUAACACAUGCAAGUCGAACGGCAGCACAGUAAGAGCUUGCUCUUACGGGUGGCGAGUGGCGGACGGGUGAGGAAUACAUCGGAAUCUACUUUUUCGUGGGGGAUAACGUAGGGAAACUUACGCUAAUACCGCAUACGACCUACGGGUGAAAGCAGGGGAUCUUCGGACCUUGCGCGAUCGAAUGAGCCGAUGUCGGAUUAGCUAGUUGGCGGGGUAAAGGCCCACCAAGGCGACGAUCCGUAGCUGGUCUGAGAGGAUGGUCAGCCACACUGGAACUGAGACACGGUCCAGACUCCUACGGGAGGCAGCAGUGGGGAAUAUUGGACAAUGGGCGCAAGCCUGGUCCAGCCAUACCGCGUGGGUGAAGAAGGCCUUCGGGUUGUAAAGCCCUUUUGUUGGGAAAGAAAAGCAGCAGGUUAAUACCCCGCUGUUCUGACGGUACCCAAAGAAUAAGCACCGGCUAACUUCGUG
rnacentral:rRNA from 1 species